UACGUAGGGCGCAAGCGUUGUCCGGAAUUAUUGGGCGUAAAGAGCUCGUAGGCGGCCUGUUACGUCUGCUGUGAAAUCCCGGGGCUUAACCCCGGGCGUGCAGUGGAUACGGGCAGGCUGGAGGCAGGCAGGGGAGAACGGAAUUCCGGGUGUAGCGGUGGAAUGCGUAGAGAUCCGGAGGAAGACCGGUGGCGAAGGCGGUCUGCUGGGCAGUUUCUGACACUGAUGCGCGACAGCGUGGGGAGCAAACAGG
rnacentral:rRNA from 1 species